rnacentral:rRNA from 1 species
AAGGCGAAGCCGUGAGGCCAAGCAAAGCCCAAAAAUGGCGUCUCAGUUCGGAUUGUAGUCUGCAACUCGACUACAUGAAGCUGGAAUCGCUAGUAAUCGCAGAUCAGAAUGCCGCGGUGAAUACGUUCCCGGGUCUUGUACACACCGCCCGUCACACCAUGGGAGUUGGGAAUGCCCGAAGCCGGUGACCUAACCGAAAGGGAGGAGCCGUCGAAGGCAGGCUUGAUAACUGGGGUGAAGUCGUAACAAGGUAUC